rnacentral:sRNA from 1 species
AGGCCACCCACGAGGGGGUGUGGAGGUGAUCGUCGC